UACGAAGGGUGCAAGCGUUACUCGGAAUUACUGGGCGUAAAGCGUGCGUAGGUGGUGAGUUAAGUCUGUCGUGAAAGCCCCGGGCUCAACCUGGGAAUGGCGAUGGAUACUGGCUCGCUAGAGUGCGGUAGAGGAGAGUGGAAUUCCCGGUGUAGCAGUGAAAUGCGUAGAGAUCGGGAGGAACAUCAGUUGCGAAGGCGGCUCUCUGGGACGGUACUGACGCUGAGACGCGAAGCGUGGGGAGCGAACAGG
rnacentral:rRNA from 1 species